AGCGGAGGAAAAGAAACUAACAAGGAUUCCCCUAGUAACUGCGAGUGAAGCGGGAAAAGCUCAAAUUUAAAAUCUGGCGGUCUUUUGGCUGUCCGAGUUGUAAUCUAGAGAAGUGUUAUCCGUGCUGGACCGUGUACAAGUCUUCUGGAAUGGAGCGUCAUAGAGGGUGAGAAUCCCGUCUCUGACACGGACUGCCAGUGCUUUGUGAUGCGCUCUCGAAGAGUCGAGUUGUUUGGGAAUGCAGCUCAAAAUGGGUGGUAAAUUCCAUCUAAAGCUAAAUAUUGGCGAGAGACCGAUAGCGAACAAGUACCGUGAGGGAAAGAUGAAAAGAACUUUGGAAAGAGAGUUAAACAGUACGUGAAAUUGCUGAAAGGGAAACGCUUGAAGUCAGUCGCGUUGGCCAGGAAUCAACCUUGCUUCUGCUGGGCGUACUUCCUGGUCGAUGGGUCAGCAUCAAUUUUGACCGUUGGAAAAAGCUCAGGGAAAUGUAGCAUCCUCGGAUGUGUUAUAGUCCUUUUUCGCAUACAACGGUUGGGAUUGAGGAACUCAGCACGCCGCAAGGCCGGGUCUUUGACCACGUACGUGCUUAGGAUGCUGGCAUAAUGGCUUUAAUCGACCCGUCUUGAAACACGGACCAAGGAGUCUAACAUGCCUGCGAGUGUUUGGGUGGAAAACCCGAGCGCGUAAUGAAAGUGAAAGUUGAGAUCCCUGUCGUGGGGAGCAUCGACGCCCGGACCUGACCUUUUGUGACGGCUCCGCGGUAGAGCAUGUAUGUUGGGACCCGAAAGAUGGUGAACUAUGCCUGAAUAGGGUGAAGCCAGAGGAAACUCUGGUGGAGGCUCGUAGCGAUUCUGACGUGCAAAUCGAUCGUCAAAUUUGGGUAUAGGGGCGAAAGACUAA
rnacentral:rRNA from 1 species